CGGUGGUAGGGGAUCGGGGAGCUAGCCGUUCCCUGUAGCCCGAAAUCGGCUAUACGCGGGGAUCCGUCAACUUGGAGGCGAGGUGUUGCUGACCGACUGCAGGGCCCGGUUGCUGACGAUGAGGCUCUGACCUGCUGGGCUGACGGAGGAGAGGGUGCUUCUGAAGGGAGGUCUCCCAUCUCCUUGCCGCCGAACCUGAUGAGGCUCGGAAGAGAGCAAUCGUAAGGUGGACGGUUUGGCGCUGGCAGGAGAAACAGGGUCUAGGAUGCUGCUGGGAUUCCGCUGUUGUGAGGUGCACCAAUCCUCCUGGGAUGCUACCACCG
rnacentral:SRP_RNA from 1 species